AGAAUCAACGCUGGCGGCGUGCCUAACACAUGCAAGUCGCACGAGAAAGGGACUUCGGUCCUGAGUACAGUGGCGCACGGGUGAGUAACACGUGAAUCAUCUACCUCCGAGUGGGGAAUAACCUAGAGAAAUCUGGGCUAAUACCGCAUAACACUUACGAGUCAAAGCAGCAAUGCGCUUGGAGAGGAGUUCGCGGCAGAUUAGUUAGUUGGCGGGGUAAUGGCCCACCAAGACGAUGAUCUGUAUCCGGCCUGAGAGGGCGCACGGACACACUGGAACUGAAACACGGUCCAGACUCCUACGGGAGGCAGCAGUGGGGAAUUUUGCGCAAUGGGGGAAACCCUGACGCAGCAACGCCGCGUGGAGGAUGAAAUAUCUUGGUAUGUAAACUCCUUUCGAUGGAGAAGAUAAUGACGGUACCCAUAGAAGAAGCCCCGGCUAACUUCGCGCCAGCAGCCGCGGUAA
rnacentral:rRNA from 1 species